rfam:Canis lupus familiaris chromosome 32, whole genome shotgun sequence.
AUGCUCACUUCAGCAGCACAUAUACUAAAAUUGGAACAUUACAGAGAAGAUUAACAUGGCCCCUGCACAAGGAUGACAUGCAAAUUCAGGAAGUGCUCCAUAUUUUU